rnacentral:rRNA from 1 species
AUUGAACGCUGGCGGCAUGCCUUACACAUGCAAGUCGAACGGCAGCGCGGACUUCGGUCUGGCGGCGAGUGGCGAACGGGUGAGUAAUACAUCGGAACGUACCCUGUUGUGGGGGAUAACUAGUCGAAAGAUUAGCUAAUACCGCAUACGACCUGAGGGUGAAAGUGGGGGACCGCAAGGCCUCACGCAGCAGGAGCGGCCGAUGUCUGAUUAGCUAGUUGGUGGGGUAAAGGCCCACCAAGGCGACGAUCAGUAGCUGGUCUGAGAGGACGAUCAGCCACACUGGGACUGAGACACGGCCCAGACUCCUACGGGAGGCAGCAGUGGGGAAUUUUGGACAAUGGGGGCAACCCUGAUCCAGCAAUGCCGCGUGUGUGAAGAAGGCCUCGGGUUGUAAGCACUUUGUCCGGAAAGAAAUACGCGCUGGUUAAUACCU